rnacentral:rRNA from 1 species
GAACGCUGGCGGCGUGCCUAAUACAUGCAAGUCGAGCGAACAGACGAGGAGCUUGCUCCUCUGACGUUAGCGGCGGACGGGGGAGUAACACGUGGAUAACCUACCUAUAAGACUGGGAUAACUUCGGGAAACCGGAGCUAAUACCGGAUAAUAUAUUGAACCGCAUGGUUCAAUAGUGAAAGACGGUUUUGCUGUCACUUAUAGAUGGAUCCGCGCCGCAUUAGCUAGUUGGUAAGGUAACGGCUUACCAAGGCAACGAUGCGUAGCCGACCUGAGAGGGGGAUCGGCCACACUGGAACUGAGACACGGUCCAGACUCCUACGGGAGGCAGCAGUAGGGAAUCUUCCGCAAUGGGCGAAAGCCUGACGGAGCAACGCCGCGUGAGUGAUGAAGGUCUUCGGAUCGUAAAACUCUGUUAUUAGGGAAGAACAAAUGUGUAAGUAACUAUGCACGUCUUGACGGUACCUAAUCAGAAAGCCACGGCUAACUACGUG